CUAGGACAUCAUGUCCAAAAGCCCAAAAGUAGAAGAUGCCACCCCAACCACCAGUCGGUGCACCCCCGGUGCAGCCACCUCCACCAAGGGAAGAGGACCCCAUUUGUAGUGCGGCCCUGAAAUAAUUGGAAGAAGUCUUGCGUCAGGCAUUGCCCUGGCACGCACUAACAACGAGGAGGGUGAGAUCUUGCGCCGAACACUCAAGGCUGCCGAAAUGGAAAAAGCCCUAGCACAUGAUGGCACUAGAGGGAGUAAGAUAAAGACUCCAGGCACGGCUAGUUGGAAGCCUGAAGGAUUUAGCCUCAUGUGGAUCGUUUCUCGGAUAUCUUAAUUCACCAUACAACGAUUAAUUCCUAACAUGCUCCUAUGAAUUUAAGUGCUGCACAUUGGAGUUAGAAUCACUUACUUGUGAAUUGGAUGCAGAGGUUGUCGAUGGCUGAAUCGAAUGACUCCAGUUCUGACCUUCUGAACUGUAUCCCCCUCAAUUCUCAAUAUUGGAUGGACAACGAACUAUGAGAAUUCCCAAGGAGAAUUCGGCCACCUCAAAGUCAGCGCCCCCUACUGCUCUCUCUAAAAACCCGUUUCCAGAGUUAGCCGAUUUCUCGCCAGAGUGGAGAUAACUUGCAGAGCACGAUUUUGAUGGACUUACCUUCUCUUACACGACUUUAUUUCCUUUAGAGUCCAACUUUACAUGGCAAGUUGAUGGUGAUUAGGAUUAGAAUGAGGUAUAUAAAUAGGGCCAUACUUUUCAUUGUAAAAUCAAUCCUUUUGCCUCCGGCACUUAGUUUACCUUAGUUCAAAAUCAAUCGUUUGCCCUAAUCUUUAGUUUCCGCUAGGCAGCCAAAGUUUAGUUUUUUAUUGCUUUCUUAGUCUUAAUUUCGAAUUAUGUUCUUAGUUAGUUUAUUAUAGUUCUUUCAAUUCAUGUUUUAGAUUAGUUCCCAUUUAAAGUUGUAAUUACGUGACAGAUUACAUCUCAAGACGUUUUACGGUAUUUCUUAAUCAAGUUUAUUUAUUUGCUUUUACUUGCUUUCUUUAAAUUAUGCACUUUAGAUUAUGCAAUUUAGGUUAUGCGUUUUUACGAUGCUUUCCUUUAAAUUAUGCAAUUUAGUUUUAUGCUCAUUAGAUUAGAAGCUUUUAAUUUACAAGUAUUUAAAUUCCUAGUUAGUAUUUAAAUUCCAAGUUCCUUUACUUUUAUUGCGUUUAAAUCUUGCCUAGGGUUUUAUAGUUUUUCGCCUAGAUAAUUUUAAGAUUAAGUUUUAGUUAAGUUUAAUUUACAAGCAUUAGUUAAUAAUUCCUUUUUGCCUAGUUAAUUCUUAAGUUUAAAUUCACGUUAAGUUUACUUUCCAAGUUUUAGUUUAAUAAUCUUUAGUUUACUAUUUACGUGUGACAUAAUUAAUUGCCCUUUAAGAUCUUCCUUGAGAGACGACAUUGGGUUAGCUUACCACUGCUAGAGUGUCCUUGUCCUAUUGCAAGUCAAUCUAGAGGUGUUCUAGUUGAGUCAGUCACAUGAGCGCAUAAUGUAUAGUCUUGAUUUAAUUAGUGAGUGAUUUGCUAAAUCAUAUUUUCCCUACACAUUUUACUACACAAAUAUUUACCAUUUAUUUUAUUAUUACUUUUAACCUAAGGUUGUUUAUUAAGCAAGUGGCCAAGUGGCCAAGUGGAUAAAGGAGCAUUUAAUGAGCAUUAAUUAAUCUUUAGCUUAUGGAGCAAGUUUAGAGCAUUAGACAAAACACUCUCUCUCUUCUCUCCCCCUCAUUUCGCCACCCUCCCUACUCUCUCUCCCUCUCACUCUUUUCUCUCUCUACCUCCAUUGUUAACCAAGUUCCAAGCUUCAUAGAUCAUUUCUAUGUUAUAAUCUCCACCAAAAUCAAAGUAUAAACUUCAUAAUCCUUGAAUCAAGAGCAACUUUGGAAUAUUUUAAAGCUUGAAGUCAAGAACGAGGAAUUUUAUUUUCUACUCAAGAAUCAUUGAGUAAGUGCUAGAUCUACUUAGAUCUAUAUAUUUGAGUUAGAUAUGAGUAUAUAUUGAUAGAUCAAGUAGAAAACAUCACCCACUUCAUUCUUGCAAUUUUCAAAAUUAGGGUUCAUACCCCUUCAAAAAUUCAUCAUCUAAUCUUAAAUUGAGAUUAUAUUCAUGCUAUUGAGAUCCUAUUUAGUCCAUUUUACAUGCAAAGCAUGAAUUUAAAAUGAUAAAUGAAUGUUUGAAUAAGUUAAUUACAUGAUCUAGAAAGGUUGAAGUUAUGGAUGAAUUGUUGAUUUGAUUAUGAAUAUGAGCUAGUGAGAGUGUUGAGAUGAUAUUUGAUGGACGAAAAUGAUGAUUAAAGGUGUUUGAUGAAGAUUGAAGUGAGUUAGUUUGAUGAAAAAUAGGGUAUAGUUGGCUAUAUGCUUGAUGAAGUUAGCAAGUUGAUGAGUUAUUUUGAAAACCUUUAAAAAGCUACUGACUUGAUGAAUUUCAACAGGGUUCUUGAUACCCAAAAAUCUUGAAACUUUUAUGGUGCGUAUAUCAGAGUGUUAAAAUGCAAAACGCCAAUUGCAACUUUCUACCGAAAGUUUGGAAGAACAGACCUUAGAGUCACCCUUUUCAGUAGCUUCCCCUAAUUUUUUGCUUGCCGACCUUUUAUGGUAAAGAGAUUAAUGUGUUGUCUAACUACCCACAAAAUUUCAAGUCAUUUCGGCAAUGUUUACUAUUUUUCAAAAAUCAAAUUCUCCAGUUGCACGAAACUGCCGAAUAUGGUAGACUGUGGGAGAACGGUCAUAUCUCUUAAACCACUUGGAGUUUUUCAACCUACUUUUUUUAAAAUGAAACUAGACUUCAAAGAGGUUUCCAAUAGUAUGAGUCUCGAACCCAGGAGAGUUCUGAGGAGAAACAGUUUAUUCUCUUAAGUUAAGGCAGUGCAGAAAGAGUGAAUUGAAUAAGAUUUUGAUUAUGAGAUGAGAUAUGAAUUAAAGAUGCCUAUAUGUGGCUUAGUGAAGAUGAAUUGAGCUUAUACAUGAAAAAUGUAAUAAAAUGGCAUAACUUGUUUAUGUGAGUUAAUUUUUGAAUAAUUGGUUUAAGAAUGAUUUAUAAAAUAGAUUUUUGGGAAAUUUCCCCGACUAAAAAUAUUUUAUUUUUUUUUUCAAAAAUGAGUUGUGUAUGUGAUUGCUAUGUGCUUAUGGAUUGUUUAUCUAUGAGUUGUUCCUUGACAGAGCCUAGACCUAAAUUAGGUGAUAAGUCGAGAAUAGAAUAGUGAUUACUUAGAAAGUGUUUACGAUAUGAGAUCGAGUCAGACGGAGUGUAGAAAUGAGAAGUAAUGAAAUAAUACUAAGAUAGAAUGAUAUUCUUAGUAAGGAAGUUUCUGACAUCCUUUAUUUAACCAUGAACUAAUCCCAUGGAAUUUGAAGAUACCAGAAGAGGACGGAAGUAAGUCCACCCCGAACGCUACGAGAGUAAGCUAAGGACAUCAGGUGGGCAUUAUUUUUACUAUACGUAUAUAGAGAUCCCCUGCGUAUCGUAGGCCUCUUAUACGAAAUGAAGUAAAUGAUGUGAUUUAACUGUAAAUUUCAGUUUGAUGAAAAUUAUUACUGAUGAUGAUGUUUAUGAGUUUGAUAAAUAAUUUGAGAUUUAUUGAUGUUGAACUAAUUGACUUGCCGAGUUUUGAUGACGACGAGCCUGUAUGUCACCCUCUACUGAUGAGACGAAUUCGGAUCCUGCCACAAGCGGGAUUGUGUACACAGAGGUGAUCGUGAGCUGUCCUUUGGGUCGGCCGGUCACGGUACUUGAGAAGGAGGCCUACUUCUCAGUACCUUUAUGAUGAUGAUUUGUAGAUGUGGUACAUACAUAACGAGAAUUUUGACCGGUCAUUUAUUUAUGAUGUUUAUGAUUGUUAACUGCUUACACGGGUUCUUUUGAGUAAAAUCCCCGUGUAUUGCUUAUGUGGCAAGUUCAAUCUAUAGCUCUAAGAGCUAGUUUUCAUUGAUUUUCGGCUUAUGUCCACUGAGUAUUCUGUACUCAGCCCUGCAUGUAUUUCUAAACGUGCAGGAUAAGCGAGGAGGGAGAUUGGACUGGUGCUGGCAGGGAUUUUGUUUCAGAUAAUCUUCAUUAUACCGUAAUUAUAUUCCUUGCGGUAACAUCAAGAUGUUGAAGUUUAUUUUGAACUUAAUCAAGAAAUUUACUCUCGGCUAUAUGUCUUCAUACAUAUAGUCUUUUCGUAUUUUGCUGCGAUACUCUGUAUAUCCCGAGUCAUUGUGAGUAAUUAGCUAUGUCUACUUUGUAAAGGUUGACAAGAAUCUCAAUAAUUUAAAAGUUAUAAAGCCAAUAAUAUUUUUAUUGAUGAUGAUGUCAUCUUUCUUGAUUUAUCACGUUUCAGUGAUUGCUUCCGCUUGACGUGCAAUCUAGUUUUGUCUUUUGACCUUAUUAAUAUAUUUAGUCGUAUCGAUACCCGGUUUACGCUAUCACUGGCUAGGCGUCGGGCUGCGACAUAUUCUUAUUUUACUUUUAAUAUGUGUUUCUUGAUUGUGCAAAGAAUUUGAGUUUUAUUGCAACACGAUUGUAAGUAUGUAAAACGUGAUUUGUCCGGUAGAUGCUAGAAGGAGUGUUGUCAUUGUGAUUGCCUACGAUCGUAUCCUUAUCUGUGAAUAAUGCUGGACGAAUUGCCAUUUCUAAAAAUGUCAGCUCUGAAACAUAUGGCCAGCUCUGAAACGUGACAGCUCUGAGUCUCUGCUCCUCUGGUCUAACUAUGAGCAUGGGAAACCACGUGAAAAGACUUUGGAUUACAUCCAAAUGGUUUUUAUUUCAUGAAUUAUGGCUCAACUGUCCAAAAACUUAAGCACACAAAGUGUAAAAAAAAUGGUGAUAUUGAUUAUAAAGGCGAUCACAUUAGGGAAUUCACUUCUAGCGGAGAAUUGGGUAUGAUCGAAUUACUUGCAUUACUGUUUUGUUGCUUCGUAAACUUUAAGUUACUUGCAUGAUCAAGAGAUGUGUGUUGAUUGUAAAAUUUUGAAUUGACUUUGUGAAUGUUUGGAUGGAAAUAAGCAUCGUUGAAAUCAAUCUCUUCCUAAGAUUCAUAUUGAUUUUGCUUGAGGACAAGCUGAUUUAUGCUUAAUUGUUCUAAAUUUUGGGGUUUGCAUGUACUUUUUAAGUUAAAUCUUCUGAAAUGGUGCGUUUUAUGGUUAUUUUAUGCUUUUCGGAGAUUUAGUUUCGAGAUGAAAGUGCAAAUUUUGGAGAUUUGGGCUAAGAAUUACGUUUUUGUGCAUGCUCUGGCACGUCAGAGAAGUGAAGCCCCGCAUGCCAGAGCAGCGAAAAGGGAAGCCAGAGAAAUGCUCCAGAUCCAGAGAAGUCAUUCGCCAGAGCAGCGAAAUCACUAGUCAGAGAAGUCAUAAGCCAGGCCAGAGAAAUCAAUAUCCAGUGCAGCGAAAUCGAAAACGCCAGAGGAAUAUAAGCGCCAGCGGAAUCGCCAUCAGAGAAACCGGAGCCAGAGCGGAACCGUUCCUGGCGAGAGCCCGAUUUCCGCCAGGGUGGAGAUUAUUUCAGAGCGCGCGACACAGCUGGAAGUUGCCUUUCUUCACGAUUCUAUUGCCUUUAGAGUUCUACUUUGCAUGGCAACUUCCAUGGUGAUCCAUAGGGAUUCGAAGUCUAUAAAUAGGGCCAUACUUUUCAUUGUAAGAUCAUCGCUUGCCCUAGUUUUAGACGCCAUCUUUGCGAUCUGUUGGCAUCCGAAGCUUAGGAUUUACUUGCUUUCAUAGUUCUUUAUAGUUUUCAGAUUCAUUGUUUUAAGUUAGAUUUCAAUUCAGUUUUUAGUUUAUUCUUGGAUUGUGAUUGAGUGACACAAUUACAUGUUCAAGACGUUUACGGUAUUUCGUAUUUCAAUUCAAUUUAUUUCGUUUAAUCAUGUUUACGUUUUUCAUUCAAGUUCAUGCUUUCUUUUUAAUUAUGCAAUUUAAAUUAUGCACUUUAGUUUCACGCCUAGAUUAGAAGUCUUUAAAUUUACAAGUAUUUAAUUUCUUAAGUUAGGUUUAAUUUGAGUUGUUUAAAUUCUUGCCUAGGUUAAGUUUAAAUUCAAGUCAAGUUUAAUUUAAGUUUAAGUUUCAGUUUUUAAAUCAAAAUCUUUACUGCUUCCUUUUAUUGCUUUUUCCUACGAUACUACUAAGAGCCCUUAAAGACUUUCCUUGAGAGAUGACAUUGGGUCAACUUACCAUCACUAGGAUGUCCUUGUUCUAUUGCAAGUCAACUUAGAGGUGUUUCUAGUUGAGUCACAAGCAAAAGGCUAAGUGUGGGGGGUUGAUCAUGUGCAUAUUUAAGUUGAAUCUUCUGGAAAUUUGUGCGUUUUAUGGUUUGUUUUAUGCUUUGCAGGAGAUUUAGGUUUUAUAGAUGGAAGAGUGUAAUUUUGGAGAUUUUGGGUUUAGAAUGGCGUUUUUAAGAACACUCUGGUGUACAGAGCUGAAAAGCCCACGCCAGAGCUGAAAAGCCGCGCCAGAGCUGAAAAGCCCGCUGCAGAGCAGAGCAGAGAAGCUCGCCAGAGCAGAGCNUAGUUUUUAUUGAUUUUCGGCAUAUGUCCACUGAGUAUUCUGUACUCAGCCCUGCAUGUAUUUCUAAACGUGCAGGAUAAGCGAGGAGGGAGAUUGGACUGGUGCUGGCAGAGAUUUUGUUUCGGAUGAUCGUCAUUAUACCGUAAUUAUAUUCCUUGCGGUAACAUCAAGAUGUUGAGGUUUAUUUUGAACUUAAUCAAGAAAUUUACUCCCGGCUAUAUGUCUUCAUACAUAUAGUCUGUUCGCAUUUUGCUGCGAUACUCUGUAUAUCCCGAGUCAUUGUGAGUAAUUAGCUAUGUCUACUUUGUAAAGGUUGACAAGAAUCUCGAUGAUUUAAAAGUUAUAAAGCCAAUAAUAUUUUUAUUGAUGAUGAUGUCAUCUUUCUUGGUUUAUCACGUUUCAGUGAUUGCUUCCGCUUGACGUUCGAUCUAGUUUUCUCUUUUUACCUUAUUAAUUUAUUUAGUC
rnacentral:lncRNA from 1 species